GAUGGACGCUGGCGGCGUGCCUAAUACAUGCAAGUCGAGCGAACAGACGAGGAGCUUGCUCCUCUGACGUUAGCGGCGGACGGGUGAGUAACACGUGGAUAACCUACCUAUAAUACUGGGAUAACUUCGGGAAACCGGAGCUAAUACCGGAUAAUAUAUUGAACCGCAUGGUUCAAUAGUGAAAGACGGUUUUGCUGUCACUUAUAGAUGGAUCCGCGCCGCAUUAGCUAGUUGGUAAGGUAACGGCUUACCAAGGCAACGAUGCGUAGCCGACCUGAGAGGGUGAUCGGCCACACUGGAACUGAGACACGGUCCAGACUCCUACGGGAGGCAGCAGUAGGGAAUAUUCCACAAUGGGCGAAAGCCUGACGGAGCAACGCCGCGUGAGUGAUGAAGGUCUUCGGAUCGUAAAACUCUGUUAUUAGGGAAGAACAAAUGUGUAAGUAAAUAUGCACGUCUUGACGGUACCUAAUCAGAAAGCCACGGCUAACUACGUG
rnacentral:rRNA from 1 species